UACGUAGGGGGCUAGCGUUGUCCGGAAUCAUUGGGCGUAAAGAGCGUGUAGGCGGUCCGGUAAGUCCGCUGUGAAAGUCAAGGGCUCAACCCUUGAAAGCCGGUUGAUACUGUCGGGCUAGAGUCCGGAAGAGGCGAGUGGAAUUCCCGGUGUAGCGGUGAAAUGCGCAGAUAUCGGGAGGAACACCAAUGGCGAAGGCAGCUCGCUGGGACGGUACUGACGCUGAGACGCGAAAGCGUGGGGAGCAAACAGG
rnacentral:rRNA from 1 species